GUGAAAACCUGAAGGCAUCGGAGUGAUGUGCACAUCAGAGACACACUGAUGUACAAUUAACACAUCCACGUGUUAGCAAUUAUGUAGGUGGAUAUAAAAUCAUGCGCAAAGUGAUGAGGAAAAUGGUAUUAACAAUGACGGCGUCAGCAUUGUUAGA